rnacentral:misc_RNA from 1 species
GAUGAAGAACGUAGCGAAAUGUGAUGAGUAAUGUGAAUUGCAGAAUUCAGUGAAUCAUCGAAUCUUUGAACGCACAUUGCGCCCGCCAGUAUUCUGGCGGGCAUGCCUGUUCGAGCGUCAUUUCAACCAUCAAGCCCCAGGCUUGUGUUGGAGCCCUGCGGCUGCCGCAGCCUCCCAAAACCAGUGGCGGGCUCGCUAUCACACCGAGUGCAGUAGUUUACUCUUCGCUCAGGGCGUGUGGCGGGUGCUAGCCGUAAAACCCCCAACUUCUCAAGGUUGACCUCGGAUCAGGCAGGAAUACCCGCUGAACUUAAGCAUAUCAAUAAGCGGAGGA